rnacentral:rRNA from 1 species
UGCGGAGGGAGCUAGCGUUGUUCGGAAUUACUGGGCGUAAAGCGCACGUAGGCGGCUUUGUAAGUUAGAGGUGAAAGCCCGGAGCUCAACUCCGGAAUUGCCUUUAAGACUGCAUCGCUCGAAUCCAGGAGAGGUGAGUGGAAUUCCGAGUGUAGAGGUGAAAUUCGUAGAUAUUCGGAAGAACACCAGUGGCGAAGGCGGCUCACUGGACUGGUAUUGACGCUGAGGUGCGAAAGCGUGGGGAGCAAACAGG